rnacentral:misc_RNA from 1 species
UUUUCGUAGGUGAACCUGCGGAAGGAUCAUUACCGAGUUCAGACCGAAUAGGCCGAUCUCCCACCCGUGCCUAUCAUGCCCAUGUUGCUCCGGCAGGUCGUCUGCUCUAGCCACCGGCGCCUGCUGGUGAGUACCUGCCGGAGGCCCUACCACGCGAGAAAUGUAUUGUCGGAUAAUGCAAAACCCUUUAAAACUUUCAACAACGGAUCUCUUGGUUCUG